GAUUCGCUUUAUCUUCUUCUUCUGCGUUUUUGUGUUGUGCGUGAUGUUGCGUGGUCGUUGUCAUCAUUUCUACAGGUCGUCGAUGAUGAUGAGGCGACGAUGAUGGGAUGGAUGUUGGUGAUCGAUGAAGAGAUGAUUGAAGAAUUCGUUGAUGAGGAUGAUGAUGAUGCAGAGGCGUUGUUGAAGAUACUAAAUUGUCGAUUAAGGAGAGAUUGGUGGAAUUCGGUAUUCGUCGCGGUUCGGUUAGAGAUGCGUUUCUGUUACGUUUUUUUUCUGAUGAUUCUCAACCUCUUGUUCUUCUCUCUGAAUUCAGAGUUGAUGAAGAUGAAACUCUGAAGAUUGGUUGAAGAACGACUCUGGAUUGAAGUUUGGUGCGAUGAAGAAGAUGGUUUUUCUUUGUCGAUUUUCUGUUGUGAUUCUCGAUCUCUAUUUGCAGAUUGAAGAAUUGGUGGAGGAUUUUUAUUAUUGAAGGUUGGUAGUGAUUGAAGAUGGAUGAAGGCUGAAGAGUUUUUGAUGAAGGUGAGAAUUGAAAGUGAAUGAAGGAGAUGAGAACAAAAAUGGUGGUGAGGAAUGAAGAGAAUGGAGAAGAUUGAAGGCGUGAAGGGUGAAGAAGAAGGGCCUCCGAGAUUGAAGGUUGAUGUUUCUGUUAUAUAGAGUGUGAAGAGCCGAAUAUUGAGAAUCUGAGCUUCAAGCUUUGGAGUACUGAACCGACUUAUAUAUUGCUGCAGAUUUUAUUUGUAUGAUGGAGUUAGCCGGUCUUGGUAUUUUGUCACUGCGGUUCAGCUUCGGUUUAUAAGUGCAAGGUGGAGUUUGGACUGAUAUAGUGCGGCUUAUAUGUGCAGGCUCUGUUUCGAUUGAAAUGGCAUGUUUGUUGCUGGUUUUUUCUUCAUGUGAACUCUGCUUUGGUGUUAAGGCAUGCUGAAAGUGUUUGAAUCGAUACCGUCUUCUCUUUUGCAGGUUGAACACAUGGUUACUUGGGAUGGUUGAGUGGAUUUGCGCCUUUGAAUUCAAUCCGUAGCUUGUUCUUCUUAUUUUCUGUUAAGUGAAGUGUAAGCUGGUAUGUGAUUCUUGAAAGUGAAGCAAUUUGGAACUUGAAGGUCACCCUGAAGUUGAAGCUUGAAGGCUGAGGCAAGGA